rnacentral:rRNA from 1 species
GUGGGGAAUCUUCCGCAAUGGACGAAAGUCUGACGGAGCAACGCCGCGUGAGUGAUGAAGGUCUUCGGAUUGUAAAGCUCUGUUAAUCGGGACGAAAGAGCCUAGUGUGAAUAAUGCUAGGAAGUGACGGUACCGGAAUAGAAAGCCACGGCUAACUACGUGCCAGCAGCCGCGGUAAUACGUAGGGGGCAAGCGUUGUCCGGAAUUAUUGGGCGUAAAGCGAGCGCAGGCGGAUCUGCCAGUCUGUCUUAAAAGUUCGGGGCUUAACCCCGUGAUGGGAUGGAAACUACAGAUCUAGAGUAUCGGAGAGGAAAGUGGAAUUCCUAGUGUAGCGGUGAAAUGCGUAGAUAUUAGGAAGAACACCAGUGGCGAAGGCGACUUUCUGGACGAAAACUGACGCUGAGGCGCGAAAGCCAGGGGAGCGAACGGGAUUAGAUACCCGAGUAGUCC